GUUGGUGUGACGCAAUUGGUAGACGUGCUUGCCUUAGAAGCAAGAGGUUGAGGGUUCGAGUCCCUCCACCAACA
rnacentral:tRNA from 1 species